UCAUUCCGUACGAAAUAAUAGUUCCCCACUAUCUUUCCCUUUCAAAAUUCAAUGUCAAACGUUGAAACUCCACCACAUUUUAAAUCCGCAUGCAGAUGAAUAAAUAUAAAAUUAAUUAACCAACAAAUACUUCCAAAUCCUUUCACCUAUAAAUUACUAACCACAAAACACAAAUAAACAACACCUUCUCUUCAUCAAAACUCUAGCUAGCCUAGCCCCAUCACCUAAAAAGAAUAAAAUCACACACACACACACAUCC
rnacentral:lncRNA from 1 species